CGGGAGGCUGCAGCAGUGGGGAAUCUUGGACAAUGGGCGCAAGCCUGAUCCAGCCAUGCCGCGUGAGUGAAGAAGGCCUUAGGGUCGUAAAGCUCUUUCGCCAGAGAUGAUAAUGACAGUAUCUGGUAAAGAAACCCCGGCUAACUCCGUGCCAGCAGCCGCGGUAAUACGGAGGGGGUUAGCGUUGUUCGGAAUUACUGGGCGUAAAGCGCGCGUAGGCGGAUUAGUCAGUCAGGGGUGAAAUCCCAGGGCUCAACCCUGGAACUGCCUUUGAUACUGCUAGUCUUGAGUUCGAGAGAGGUGAGUGGAAUUCCGAGUGUAGAGGUGAAAUUCGUAGAUAUUCGGAGGAACACCAGUGGCGAAGGCGGCUCACUGGCUCGAUACUGACGCUGAGGUGCGAAAGUGUGGGGAGCAAACAGGAUUAGAUACCCGAGUAGUC
rnacentral:rRNA from 1 species